GCAAGUCAUUCAAGGUGAUGCACCACUCUUUGAAAACCCUCCUGAUCCCAAUGGCAAAGCCAAUUCAGGCAAGACAGUGAGUCAUGUUAACUUUGACAAACCCUCCCGAUGGCAAAGCCGUUUCAGGCAAGACAGUAAGCAUUGUUAACUUUGACAAACUCUCGCGACAGCAAAGGCAAUCAAGCAAGACAGUAAGCAUUGUUAACUUUGACAAACCCUCCCAAUGGCAAGGCCGUUUCAGGCAAGACAGUAAGCUAUGUUAACUUUGACAAACCCUCCCGAUGGCAAAGCCGUUUCAGGCAAGACAGUAAGCAUUGUUAUCUUUGACAAACCCUCCCGAUGGCAAAGCCGUUUCAGGCAAGACAGUAAGCAUUGUUAACUUUGACAAACUCUCGCGACAGCAAAUGCAAUCAAGCAAGACAGUAAGCGUUGUUAACUUUGACAAACCCUCCCGAUGGCAAGGCCGUUUCAGGCAAAGACAGUAAGCAUUGAUAACUUUGACAAACCCUCCCGAUGGCAAAGCCGUUUCAGGGCAAGACAGUAAGCAUUGUUAUCUUUUGACAAACCCUCCCGAUGGCAAAGCCGUUUCAGGCAAGAACAGUAAGCAUUGUUAACGUUGACAAACUUCUCGCGACAGCAAAGAAAAAAAAAAGCAAGACAGUAAGCGUUGUUAACUUUGACAAAACCCUCCCGAUGGCAAGGCCGUUUUCAGGCAAGACAGUAAGCAUUGAUAACUUUGACAAACCCUCCCGAUGGCAAGGCCAAAUCAGGCAAGACAGCAAGUCAUGUUAAGAGAGGCACAAACGCUAAAUGAGGACAAAAAAAGGAUCCCAUGAGACCCCAUGCCCACAUCGUUUUCCAUAUCCAAGAUACCAAGCAACGCUCAAUGGGCCACAACAUCAACGCAUGCGUAACGCUGUGGAUCAAAGAGACCGCUUCGUGGUUCAUCUGAUGCCACAAAAAUAACACAAGACGAAAUCAACUAUAAUCAACCAUGAC
rnacentral:misc_RNA from 1 species